ACGGGUGAGUAACGCGUGGGUAACCUGCCUUAUACAGGGGGAUAACAGUCAGAAAUGGCUGCUAAUACCGCAUAAGCCCACGGCUCGGCAUCGAGCAGAGGGAAAAGGAGUGAUCCGCUUUGAGAUGGCCUCGCGUCCGAUUAGCUGGUUGGUGAGGUAACGGCCCACCAAGGCGACGAUCGGUAGCCGGACUGAGAGGUUGAACGGCCACAUUGGGACCGAGACACGGCCCAGACUCCUACGGGAGGCAGCAUG
rnacentral:rRNA from 1 species